rnacentral:rRNA from 1 species
GGGUCCGUAGCCGGUUUGAUCAGUCUUCCGGGAAAUCUGACAGCUCAACUGUUAGGCUUCUGGGGGAUACUGUCAGACUUGGAACCGGGAGAGGUAAGAGGUACUACAGGGGUAGGAGUGAAAUCUUGUAAUCCUUGUGGGACCACCAGUGGCGAAGGCGUCUUACCAGAACGGGUUCGACGGUGAGGGACGAAAGCUGGGGGCACGAACCGGAUUAGAUACCCGGGUAGUCCCAGCCGUAAACGAUGCUCGCUAGGUGUCUGGGAUGGUGCGACCGUUUCAGGUGCCGCAGGGAAGCCGUGAAGCGAGCCACCUGGGAAGUACGGCCGCAAGGCUGAAACUUAAAGGAAUUGGCGGGGGAGCACUACAACGGGUGGAGCCUGCGGUUUAAUUGGACUCAACGCCGGAAAACUCACCUGGGGCGACAGCAAUAUGUAGGUCAGGCUGAAGGUCUUACCUGAAUCGCUGAGAGGAGGGGCAUGGCCAC